rnacentral:rRNA from 1 species
UACGUAGGGUGCGAGCGUUUAAUCGGAAUUACUGGGCGUAAAGCGUGCGCAGGCGGUUUUGUAAGCCAGAUGUGAAAUCCCCGGGCUUAACCUGGGAAUGGCAUUUGGGACUGCAAGGCUCGAGUGCGGCAGAGGAGACUGGAAUUCCUGGUGUAGCAGUGAAAUGCGUAGAUAUCAGGAGGAACACCGAUGGCGAAGGCAGCUCGCUGGGACGGUACUGACGCUGAGACGCGAAAGCGUGGG